rnacentral:rRNA from 1 species
GACCGAGGGUGCAAACGUUGUUCGGAAUUACUGGGCGUAAAGCGCGUGUAGGCGGUUUCCUAAGUCAGGUGUGAAAGCCCCGGGCUCAACCCGGGAAGUGCACUUGAAACUGGGAGGCUAGAGUAUCGGAGAGGUUGGUGGAAUUCUCGGUGUAGAGGUGAAAUUCGUAGAUAUCGAGAGGAACACCGGUGGCGAAGGCGGCCAACUGGACGAAUACUGACGCUGAGACUCGAAAGCGUGGGGAGCAAACAGG